ACCCUGACUCUACAAGCCCUGCUGCUCCUGCUUGGGGCCACAAAGGUGUGGAACUACCUUAGUCCUGGUGGUGAAGUCUCUUCCACAGUGAGAGUGGCUGCCAGAGCAAGAGGUCAAUUAACAUAAUAACAAAAUAGCAAGGCCAACAGCAUGCUCAGAGGAUCUCAUUCACCAGGACUUGUCCUACACCCCGAGUCUGUGAAGACUCUACUAGGUUGGAGACUCCCAAGCUUCCAACCCACUGACACCUCACCUGCUCAUGGAAGGCCCAGAGUGGCACUGCAGACUGGGCUUCACAAUGUCUUUCACUUGCAAGGAUGCAGUAGACAGAAGUUCUCUCUUCUCCCUGAUGUGAUGACUAUGGACCACUGCUAUGGUUCUGUGUGGACUAGAGCUGGAUGUUCUGUGGAUAUGUGCUGCUAAAAAGGCUGAUCAGAGCCAAGUGUCAGAUGCCCAUUCACUUCAGCUCUGCAGUCCAGCCCCAUUCCCCCAUUCUGCAGUCCCCACCCUGUCUGUGUGUGUCAUAGGAAAGGACAGCACUCUAGAUUUUGUUGAACACUCUCGUAUCCUAGUUGAAACCUGAUACCUAUCACCAAGAAGGCGCAUGGUACUUAUCUGUUGAGGAGUGAGGGAGGUGGAGACUUGAUUUUGCUAUGUGUCCAGUCGGUAGCUAUGGGGAAUGAAGCAUUUCAAGACAUGGAUUACAUCAGAGUCCAUCUGACAAGAGAUCACAAGCUCAGGACUCCAGCUGCCAGUUUCCUGCCUUCUUCCUUCAGCAGAUGGUUAGCCACCAUGAACUGGCAAGGUGAGACAUCAACACUUCUGGGUCAUCAGGACAGAAAAGCGAGAAAACCCCAGAGAACUAAGUUGGGAUCAGCCCCUUACAGAACGAAGGCAUGUUCUCAACACCAUAGCUCAGAGUUCUUGGGGCUGAGGGGGACACUGGUCAUCAGUACCAGCAACCUACAUUGUCUCUGCUCCCCCCCCAGUCAAAGCACUCUGUGUCUUUGUGGCCUUCUAGAUCUUUCCAAGGUAUCAGCCUGACCAUUUAUGUCUCUCUAAUUAUCUGAUGACAGGGGCACCAGAACACAACACCACACAUUGCCACACCAUUCUGCAAUACUACACAACAGUACUACACCACACAACACCAUACAUACCAUACAAGACAACUCCAUACCACACCCCACCACAACACCACAUCAUACAACACAAUGCUGCAUUACAUCACACCGCAUCAUCAAAUUACACUAUAUAACACCACCACAACACAACAUCAUGCCAUCACACAACACAAUAACAUACCACACUAUUCUAAAUAACACCAUGCAUACCAUAGAACACCAUUCCAUACAACAGCACAGAGCACCACACCACAAAACAUCACAUAACAGCAUGCCACACAACACAAUGACACACUACAUGAUAUCUUACUACCUAACAGUACACACCACCAUACACUAUAAAACUACACAUUACACUAGGAAAAACCACGCCACAAUAGCACAACACCAAAAAAGCACACAUAUACAUCAUACCUCAAAUGUCACACCAUGCCACAACCACACAACAUACCAUACAACAUUUCAUAUCUCAUACCACAUCAUGAAAUGCUAUGCUAUACCAUGCACACUUUGAAAUGCAAUACCAAGAAACACAGUGCACCAUUAUGCUACAUGCCACUCGCCAUACCACAUGACACGUUACAGCUUGUUCCGUAACACAACACAAUAACAACAGCACCACCCCUCACUUGCCAACAAAACACUGCACAAUGUCACAUCAAAGCACACAUUACUCAAUACCACAUCACACACAAUGCCAUAUGAUACAGUAACACAUUACACAAAACAGUGCAGCAUGUAGGCCACAACGUCACAAAACUCUACACAGCACAAAAGUACAUCAUGCAGUGUGCCACACCCCAAAACACUGUGUAAUGCAUGAUGCUGCACCAUUUUACACCACACCAAACACCACACUACCCACACCACACAGUCAUACACCACCCGUCAGACUUCGCCUCUACACACUGCAGCCCUGCUUCCACCCAGCAGUACCUACCUGCGAGUAAAUGCUGGACCACCAGGGCUCCCGGAAGGCAGUAACGAUGAUCUGCCCAGCUGGAGGGAGAAACAAGCGUUUGUUUGGACAAUUUGCAUCCGCUCCUUCAUGCUGCUUCAAACUGGAUAAAAGAGAACUCUGUAUAAUAUACACAGAAACUCCUGUUACCGGCAGAAUCUUAAAAUAUUUAUACCGCACACAAACAAUGCCAAGGAAUUCCCUACGAGUCAUAUAUUGACUUAAUAAACACAGGCCCAUUAUGUA